UACGUACCGUACGAACGUUAUUCGGAAUUACUGGGCUUAAAGGGUGCGUAGGCGGCCCGUUAAGUCAGUGGUGAAAGCCUCCAGCUCAACUGGAGAACUGCCAUUGAUACUGGCGGGCUUGAGUACAGACGAGGUAGGCGGAAUUGAUUGUGUAGCGGUGAAAUGCAUAGAUACAAUCAAGAACACCGAUUGCGUAGGCAGCUUACUAGGCUGUAACUGACGCUGAGGCACGAAAGCGUGGGGAGCGAACAGG
rnacentral:rRNA from 1 species